UACGUAGGGGGCAAGCGUUAUCCGGAAUUAUUGGGCGUAAAGAGCUUGUAGGCGGUUUGUCGCGUCUGCUGUGAAAAUCCGGGGCUCAACCCCGGACUUGCAGUGGGUACGGGCAGACUGGAGUACUGCAGGGGAGACUGGAAUUCCUGGUGUAGCGGUGGAAUGCGCAGAUAUCAGGAGGAACACCGAUGGCGAAGGCAGCUCGCUGGGACGGUACUGACGCUGAGACGCGAAAGCGUGGGGAGCAAACAGG
rnacentral:rRNA from 1 species